rnacentral:lncRNA from 1 species
GCUGCCACACAGCAAUCCCCGCAGAAUAAAGAGUUAAGGGAAGUGGGAUUGGAUGCGGCUCUCAGACCAUCAGGUGAUGUCCAUAAGAGAAAGGAUGAGUGCAGUUCCCAGUUUCCAGGCAGGAAGCAGACCACCGUAUGAUUCUGCUGAAGGGAUAUCGUUCCUCCUGUAGCCAGGGCUUUGAGAUUGCUGAACAUCGUGGGUCAUGAAGGUGACUUUGCAAGAAAGGCAUACGGAAUUUCACAUUUGGGAGAUAAUUCAGUGUCAUGAAAAAACUAUCAAAACCAGCAAACAAUGUUCAUUUUCUUCCUGAAUCUGCAAAAUAUAAUCUGACAACAAACUAAGAGCUGGAUAGGAAAGAGUUAAGGAAGCGAGGUCUCCCAACCCCGGAGGAGGAUGAUGCGCUGACCCUGUGUCUGUCUUGCAGCAGGAAUUUGGCAGUAGAAGAGAAGAAAUUUGCUUACCAAAUAGAAAGGUUUGUGGAUGUUGGGAAAUAAUCUUUUUAGUUACCCUUUGCCUGGAGUCUUAUUUUCUCCACAGAGGACUAUCAAUAACCCCGCCUACUUUCCAUACCAUGGUCAUAGGCAGUCUCAACCAUAAACAGAGGAAGGGGAAAGCUUAUGGUAUCCUUGGAAGUUCCCAAAUGUUCAACUGCUCAAAAAUAGCCCCAUUGUGG